rnacentral:rRNA from 1 species
UACAGCGGGAAGCGACCGAGCGAUCGGCAGCGGAACCCGAAAACCUGUCUCAGUUCGGAUCGGAGUCUGCAACCCGACUCCGUGAAGCUGGAUUCGCUAGUAAUCGCGCAUCAGCCACGGCGCGGUGAAUACGUUCCCGGGCCUUGUACGCACCGCCCGUCAAGCCAUGGAAGCCGGGAGUGCCUGAAGUGCGUGACCGCAAGGAGCGUCCUAAGGCAAUACCGGUGACUGGGGCUAAGUCGUAACAAGGUAGC